CAGUCGAACGAAGCACUUUAUUUGAUUUCCUUCGGGACUGAUUAUUUUGUCACUGAGUGGCGGACGGGUGAGUAACGCGUGGGUAACCUGCCUUGUACAGGGGGAUAACAGUUGGAAACGGCUGCUAAUACCGCAUAAGCGCACAGCAUCGCAUGAUGCAGUGCGAAAAACUCCGGUGGUAUAAGAUGGACCCGCGUUGGAUUAGCUAGUUGGUGAGGUAACGGCCCACCAAGGCGACGAUCCAUAGCCGACCUGAGAGGGUGACCGGCCACAUUGGGACUGAGACACGGCCCAAACUCCUACGGGAGGCAGCAGUGGGGAAUAUUGCACAAUGGGGGAAACCCUGAUGCAGCGACGCCGCGUGAGUGAAGAAGUAUUUCGGUAUGUAAAGCUCUAUCAGCAGGGAAGUAAAUGACGGUACCUGACUAAGAAGCCCCGGCUAACUACGUGCCAGCAGCCGCGGUAAUACGUAGGGGGCAAGCGUUAUCCGGAUUUACUGGGUGUAAAGGGAGCGUAGACGGCAUGACAAGCCAGAUGUGAAAACCCAGGGCUCAACCCUGGGACUGCAUUUGGAACUGCCAGGCUGGAGUGCAGGAGAGGUAAGCGGAAUUCCUAGUGUAGCGGUGAAAUGCGUAGAUAUUAGGAGGAACACCAGUGGCGAAGGCGGCUUACUGGACUGUAACUGACGUUGAGGCUCGAAAGCGUGGGGAGCAAACAG
rnacentral:rRNA from 1 species